rnacentral:rRNA from 1 species
GACAGAGGGGGCGAGCGUUUUCCGGAGUCACUAGGCGUAAAGCGCGCGCAGGCGGCAACCUAAGUGUCGUGUGAAAGCCCCCGGCUCAACCGGGGGAGGCCAUGGCAAACUGGGUCGCUCGAGCUGCGGAGAGGCCCCUCGAAUUGCCGGUGUAGCGGUGAAAUGCGUAGAGAUCGGCAGGAAGACCAAGGGGGAAGCCAGGGGGCUGGCCGCAGGCUGACGCUGAGGCGCGACAGCGUGGGGAGCAAACCGG